UACGAAGGGUGCAACCGUUGCUCGGAAUUAUUGGGCGUAAAGCGCACGUAGGCGGCUCAGCAAGUCGGAUGUGAAAGCCCACGGCUCAACCGUGGAAGUGCAUCCGAAACUGCUGAGCUUGAGUACUUAAGAGGAUCGCGGAAUUCCCGGUGUAGAGGUGAAAUUCGUAGAUAUCGGGAGGAACACCAGUGGCGAAGGCGGCGAUCUGGGAAGAUACUGACGCUGAGGUGCGAAAGCGUGGGGAGCAAACAGG
rnacentral:rRNA from 1 species